rnacentral:lncRNA from 1 species
AGAUGCAUUUCCUCCUAAGUUUAGUUUUACCCAUAGGAGACGCAUUUCCUCCUAAGUUUAGUUUUACCCAUAGGAGAGGCAUUUCCUCCUAAGUUUAGUUUUACCCAUAGGAGACGCAUUUCCUCCUAAGUUUACUUUGACCCAUAGGAGAUGCAUUUCCUCCUAAGUUUAGGUUUACCCAUAGGAGACGCAUUUCCUCCUAAGUUUAGUUUUACCCAUAGGAGAUGCAUUUCCUCCUAAGUUUAGUUUUAGUUUCACCCAUAAGAGAUGCAUUUCCUCCUAAGUUUGUUUUUACCCAUAGGAGAUGCAUUUCCUCCUAAGUUUGUUUUUACCCAUAGGAGAUGCAUUUCCUCCUAAGUUUGUUUUUACCCAUAGGAGAUGCAUUUCCUCCUAAGUUUAUUUUUACCCAUAGGAGAUGCAUUUCCUCCUAAGUUUGUUUUUACCCAUAGGAGAGGCAUUUCCUCCUAAGUUGUUGUUGAACCAAUAGGAGAGGCAUUUCCUCCUAAGUUUAGUUUCACCCAUAGGAGAUGCAUUUCCUCCUAAGUUUAGUUUUACCCAUAGGAGAGGUAUUUCCUCCUAAGUUUGAAAUUAAGAGCCCGCCUGAAGAGAGGAAUGACGUUGAUUUUAAAAUUUGUUUAUUUGAAGUUGGGAGCCCGCCCAUAGAACAGAGGCAUAUAUUUCAGUCUUUUCAUUUCAAGUGUUGAAGUUGGGAGCCCGCCCAUAGAGCAGAGGCAUACAUUUCAGUCUUUACAUUUCAAACAUUGAAAUUGGGAGCCCGACCAGAUAACAGAGGCAUACAUUUCAGUCUUUAUAUU